ACGGGAGCUACUUGCACGAUCUGAUGGCCACGAAGUAGAUGCGCGAUCUAGCGCGAUCCAAGGGCCAAGGGAGCUUGAGGGAAAGAUUCAAUGGCUGGAAAGAUUUUUGAGUCCCUGUGAAAGCCUAUUUUUGAUGCAAACUAGGUUUUGGGCCUAUAAAAUGGGUGCACGGAUCUGAGAAUAGGUGUAGCAUCUGAGAGCACCCGAGAGGCAGAGAACGGGCUGAGGCAGUGGCUUGGAGCAGUAGGAAGCAUUUAGGAGCAUCAGAGGACCCUGGUACAACAGGCUAGGAUCUUCUUAAAAUUUUUGUGGGAGCUUUUGUAAGGGAUGACAAGUAAAUGCUUCUUAUUGA
rnacentral:lncRNA from 1 species